rnacentral:rRNA from 1 species
UACGGGGGGGCAAGCGUUGUUCGGAAUUACUGGGCGUAAAGGGCUCGUAGGCGGCCAACUAAGUCAGACGUGAAAUCCCCAGGCUCAACCUGGGAACUGCGUCUGAUACUGGUUGGCUUGAAUUCGGGAGAGGGAUGCAGAAUUCCAGGUGUAGCGGUGAAAUGCGUAGAUAUCUGGAGGAAUACCGGUGGCGAAGGCGGCAUCCUGGACCGACAUUGACGCUGAACGGCGAAAGCUAGGGAGCAAACGGG